UUUCGUUAGGCUAAAACUAAGGGAAGUGUUAUUAUUGUAUUGAGGUUGACAUUUGUAUAAUUAAUCAAAAUGUUUAUCAAAUUAAAACAUCAUGAUGAUUCUAUAUUCCUUAAUAUCGCUUUAUUUUCAAAAUCUUUGAGUGUUUUAUGAGGUUACGCUUUGAAUAAGAUUGUAAAAUAUGGCUUCUUUUGAAAAAACCAUGGCAUUAAGCACUCUGAAAAAGGAAAAUUCUUGCGCUCUCCAUAUAUCACUCUCUUUUCUGAAAGAAUCAAGUUCUGCCUUUUUGAAUGAUAAUUCUUCAUUCCUUAGUAAUGAUAAAGAACAGCAGUGCAUUUAUUCAUUUUGGAAGCAUAAUAAUGAAAAUAUAUUGAAUCAAGCUAAACAGUUUAACACAGAGUGCUUCAAAUUAGCGAAGGGUUGUGUUUCUUCUGCUUUGAAGGUUGAACAGCCUCAUACUUCCAGCAAACCUAAUGUUCCGACUCAAAAUCCACCAGAAAUGAAAAAAAAUCACCACCACAAAAAAUUCAGCUUUCGUAAAUAUGUGCUGACAAAUUUUGAUAUUAAUGUUUUAAGCCCUAACAGCUGGUAACUUAUAUUUGAAUCGGGUUUUAUGUCAUUGUUAAAAAUUACCCAGAAAGGCCUUUCAUGAUGCAUUCCAUUGCGUGUUUUUGUGAAUUGCUUUUUUUCUAUGUCGUGAUUUUUUGGUCUUUCAUACAUUCUAAAAAACAAAAAAAGAUAAAUGUGAAUAUAAAGUAAACUAACAUUGUAUGUCCUUAUUUUGGUUUAAUGUCCAAUUUAAAUGUGGCCAAACUUAAAAUUAAAUUUAUUUACAACACUUGUUUUUGUUGCGAUUUUUGUUCUUGCAGUCAAUAAUGCCACUGCAUCUUCAUCUUUAAAGCAAAACAUAUGUUAUUUUUUCUAGUUAUUGAAAUCACUUACAAAAUCAUAAUAAAAAAUUGUAUGCCUUGUUCUUUACAUUAAUAUAUUAACUCUUCAUUUGAAUGUAUUCAUUUUGAUAAACUCUGUUCUGGCUAAAUUUUUUUUAUGUUUAAAAUGUAGAAGCUUCUUUCUGAUUAAAUGUUACAA